UACGAAGGGGGCUAGCGUUGCUCGGAAUUACUGGGCGUAAAGGGUGCGUAGGCGGGUCUUUAAGUCAGAGGUGAAAUCCUGGAGCUCAACUCCAGAACUGCCUUUGAUACUGAGGAUCUUGAGUACGGGAGAGGUGAGUGGAACUGCGAGUGUAGAGGUGAAAUUCGUAGAUAUUCGCAAGAACACCAGUGGCGAAGGCGGCUCACUGGCCCGUAACUGACGCUGAGGCACGAAAGCGUGGGGAGCAAACAGG
rnacentral:rRNA from 1 species